rnacentral:lncRNA from 1 species
GUUGUUUCAGAAAAAUUGUACCACCUAGUUAUAGAUAUAAUUUAGAAUAAGACUAUAUGUUAAAAAAAGAGGACGAAAGAUACCAAAGGGACAGUCAAACUCAUAAAUCCAAAACAACUGACAACGCCAUGGCUAAAAACGAAAAAGACAAACAAACAACAGCACACACGACACAACAUAGAAAACCAAAGAAUAAACAACACGAACCCCACCAAAAAACUAGGGGUGAUGUCAGGUGCUCCGGAAGGGUAAGCAGAUUCUGCUCCACAUGUGGCACCCGUCGUGUUGCUUA